UGUUUAGUCGCGUCGUGUCUCGUGUCGUUGUUAAUAAAAUAUAAGUAUAAUUAUAAACAAUUAUAUCAAACUAUUAACAAUAUGGAAACAAAAAAAGAUGUAAUCUCUAAUGAUGAAAAAAAAGGCAGAAGGUGAAACAUGCAAUUGGGCAUCUAAAGAAACAUUAACAACAGCAGCAACAACAAAUAAAAUAAAAUGAAAAAAAUGUAUUGUAUUUUAUAUUGUAUAUAUUGUGAAAAUUUCGUUUGAAAAAAUUAAAUAAAAAAUAAAACAGUUUCAGUGAAAAAAAAAUAAAUCUUGUUCUUUUUUUGGUCGCAAAUGCGAAACGUCAUCCCUUUUUUAUUCCUCUUUCUGGUAGGUUUUCGCUGCUCCGACUCAGGUCCGCCUUCGGCUCCGUUUUCUCGGAAUGGAGAUUUUCACCACACCAAUACAUAUGCAAUCGACUUCGCGGUGAUUAUAAUUUCCAUACAAAUUUGAGCCGCCUUCGGACCAGUUUCUGAUCCGAAGUCAGACUCAGCUCCGCCUCAGGCGGAGCGGAUUCGGACCGAGGUCGGUCCUGUUUGCUUGAAGGGUAUACAUUUAUAUUAAGUGCGUUCAAUGUGAAAAAAUCUGAAUUUAGGUUCAGUUUUGGUGUGUUGAACUCUGCCAUUCUCAUUCGUGAGGUUUGUGUCCAUGAUUAACAAAUGCUUUUUUUACGUUACGUCACGUCACGUUUGUUAAUUUUUCUAUUUUAGUUAUUAUUUAAUAAACUAUGAUUCACCAAAUUAUGAAACUGAUCAAAUACGAUUCACUAAAUUGACACUGAAUUAUGGAGAAAUUUUUUUUGAAUUUCAUGACCAAGUGCUGCUAACUUUACGCCUUACGUAAUUUGUUAAUAACUUUUAAACUAUGAUUCACCAAAUUGUAAAAUUGAUUCACUAAAUUUCACCUUAUUUUCACCUAAUUAUUUGCAUAAAAAUUUUUGAAAAUCCCCACUAAGUGCUGCUAAGUUGAUGGCGGUGGAUCAUUUUAAGCCAAAAAAAGAAUUCAUCCAUAAAAUAUGGGAAAUCUUCUUCGGCAGCCUGACGCCACCAGCACCCACAUACAUUCAACAUCCACAAUUUUUCGAAUAACAUCGAGUUCUCCAUCGAGUUCACCAGAAAAUAAUUAUUAAAAUUGUGUUUGUGAAAAUAAAAUAAAGAAAAGAAAAAAAAAUAUAACAG